GUAACACGUGGCUAAUCUGCCCUUAGGACAAGAACAACCCCGGGAAACUGGGGCUAAUUCUUGAUCGGUGAAGAACACUGGAAUGUGUCUUCACUUAAAAGGCUUCACGUUAUCCUCGUGAGGUUGCCUAAGGAUGAGGCCGCGACCGAUCAGGUUGUUGGUGAGGUAAUGGCUCACCAAGCCUUUUACCGGUGCGGGCCGUGAGAGCGGGAGCCCGGAGAUGGGCACUGAGACAAGGGCCCAGGCCCUACGGGGCGCAGCAGUCGCGAAAACUUUGCAAUAAGCGAAAGCUUGACAGGGCUAUCCCGAGUGCCAUCCGCUGAGGAAGGCUUUUACCCAGUCUAGAACGCUGGGGGAAUAAGGAGAGGGCAAGUCUGGUGUCAGCCGCCGCGGUAAUACCAGCUCUUCGAGUGGUGUGGAUGUUUAUUGGGCCUAAAGCAUCCGUAGCUGGCUAAGUUAGUCCCUUGUUAAAUCCAGUGAAUUAAUCGUUGGAUAGCGGGGGAUACUGCUUGGCU
rnacentral:rRNA from 1 species